rnacentral:rRNA from 1 species
AUUGAACGCUGGCGGCAGGCCUAACACAUGCAAGUCGAGCGGAUGAAGGGAGCUUGCUCCUGGAUUCAGCGGCGGAUGGGUGAGUAAUGCCUAGGAAUCUGCCUGGUAGUGGGGGAUAACGUCCGGAAACGGGCGCUAAUACCGCAUACGUCCUGAGGGAGAAAGUGGGGGAUCUUCGGACCUCACGCUAUCAGAUGAGCCUAGGUCGGAUUAGCUAGUUGGUGGGGUAAAGGCCUACCAAGGCGACGAUCCGUAACUGGUCUGAGAGGAUGAUCAGUCACACUGGAACUGAGACACGGUCCAGACUCCUACGGGAGGCAGCAGUGGGGAAUAUUGGACAAUGGGCGAAAGCCUGAUCCAGCCAUGCCGCGUGUGUGAAGAAGGUCUUCGGAUUGUAAAGCACUUUAAGUUGGAAGGAAGGGCAGUAAGUUAAUACCUUGCUGUUUUGACGUUACCAACAGAAUAAGCACCGGCUAACUUCGUG